UGUUAGAACAUUUAAUCUAUUUAUACUGUUAAAAACUAGUGCUACUGAUAGAAUAACCAGUUAGUAACAUGUGGCCUGUCAUGUGUACCUCAUGCUGAUAUAUAGGGACCAAUUUUUAACACUACAAAAAGGUGAAAUUUUGAACA
rfam:Gossypium hirsutum cultivar TM-1 chromosome 20, whole genome shotgun sequence